CAGUCGCCGCGGUAAUACGAGGGGGGCAAGCGUUGUCGGAAUUAUUGGGCGUAAAGGGUGCGUAGGCGGUUUGACAAGUCUUGUGUGAAAGCCCUGGGCUCAACCUAGGAAUUGCAUUUGAUACUGUUUGGCUUGAGUUCGGGAGAGGUGAGUGGAAUUCCCAGUGUAGAGGUGAAAUUCGUAGAUAUUGGGAAGAACACCAGUGGCGAAGGCGGCUCACUGGACCGACACUGACGCUGAGGCGCGAAAGCGUGGGGAGCAAACAGGAUUAGAUACCCGGGUAGUCCCUGUCUCUUAUACA
rnacentral:rRNA from 1 species